CAGCCGCCGCGGGAAUACAGAGGGUGCAAGCGUUAAUCGGAAUUACUGGGCGUAAAGCGUGCGCAGGCGGUUUGUUAAGACAGAUGUGAAAUCCCCGGGCUCAACCUGGGAACUGCAUUUGUGACUGGCAAGCUAGAGUCUGGCAGAGGGGGGUGGAAUUCCGCGUGUAGCAGUGAAAUGCGUAGAUAUGCGGAGGAACACCGAUGGCGAAGGCAGCCCCCUGGGCCAACACUGACGCUCAUGCACGAAAGCGUGGGGAGCAAACAGGAUUAGAUACCCGUGUAGUCCCUGUCUCUUAUAC
rnacentral:rRNA from 1 species